UGUUGGAAAAUUUUAUCCAUUUCUACUGUUAAAAAUUGGCAUGGUUGACAAAAUAACCAAACAGUGCCUCGUGAAGUGCCAUGUGUACCUCAUGUUGACGUACAUGAACUAAUUUUUAACAGUAGAAAUAAAUGAAAUUUUUAAUA
rfam:Gossypium arboreum cultivar AKA8401 contig_46311_1, whole genome shotgun sequence.